rnacentral:lncRNA from 1 species
CCCGAAGCCGCGCAGCCGCGGGAGCGGCGGGAUGGAGCCGGGAGCGGUCGGAACGCAGAGACGGGUGGGGGGAAUGCCAGCAGUGACUGGGCUGUACUGGGAUCAUACUGGGAGCAGCUCCUGGGUAAAAACAAUGUAUUCCCCCAAGAUCUACCUAUCCAUCUUGUGAAUAAUGACAUGUUCUACCGCAGCCUACUCUUGGAAUGUAUUCUGAGAUAAGUUCCUACCUCUCCAGUAUUUUGUACUGCCCUUACCUAACAACUGUUUCUAACAACACACAGCCUAUGGCCUACUAAGAAUUCUAAGCCUUACCCGAACUACUUCUACUAAACUUUUGCUAGUCUGAAAUGCAACAAAUCCCCCCUUUUGAGCAUCCUUCAAUCUUCCAGUUGCAAGGAUGCUCAACCAGUAGUCUUCAGUCCGUCUUCUCGAUUUACUGAAGGGGAUAGAGGAGGCGUGGUACUCCUUGUCAUCGCGUUGAUCAGUCUCCAGGGAGUGACGGCGCCGAGGGAACAGUACGAGAAGGAGGUGCAAUUAAUAAGGACAAAUCCUCCUCUCAUCCAGAGGUUUUUACAGCACAUUUUACACAUACCUCCCUUGCCUUACACCCAGAACACUCAUCCUGAUUAUCUUCAACCUUUAAUACCAUAAUACCACACUCUUUUUGCCAUUCAGUUUUCUGUCCUAAAUAAUAAAACAAAUCCAAGUAGGGUAUCUCAUCCCAUUUCUCAUUUUCCCUAAGAUAUUGCAUUAAGGGGGUUAUCACCGAGGCAUCCAAUGUGCCGUUCAGGGGCCACUCCGGCCCCCCUUCAGAUGCAUAGGGGGGUCACCAAUGAUUACAAUAAUCCAGCAUUUUUCUUUUAUCCAAACCUGAUAAAACCCCGCACUUUUCCAUCGUCUCAGUAAGCAUCCUAAAGGAGUAUUCCCGGGCACCUUCCCAUUAGAUUGAACCAAUGCCUUAAAGGUCUUAAACGGCAUCAUCUAUGAUACGUAACGCACACACCACACUAUAAUUAAAAGUACCUUUAACAAAAUCAAAUACAAAGAAACUAUUAUUAGCUGCAACAAUACCGUGAAAAGAAGCAUUAACUAAACCAACCAACUUGCCACUACUCGACGCCGUGAGGGGCAAGUGCCGAGCCUGCGUAGCUUUCGCUUCGACUUACGGUCGGCGCCUAGGCUUUCCACCAAGACGUCUAUAUCCCAACCCGGCGAGGAUUACUGCCUUGUCUUAUGGGUAGGAAACCAAAACCAACAACAGAAAAUAAAGCACCUUCGGGCUUACCUUCCACAGUCGUCCGUCAGGCGCGGGGGUCGGGUGCAGACCGAUGACUCCCCGAGAAGUCCUCGGUGCCGGCGUGGAGUGGAUCAGAAUGCGAACCGCCCCAGCCACCCUCGGAGUCCUGCCGAGGUCGCCAGAAAACUGUUGCCCGUAAAGAGAACACAAAACAACCAAAGUCGUUUUAUGCGGUGCUUUAUUGAGGGCCCUGGGAGCCUGAGGACUAAUGUCCAAAGUCAGAGCCCGCCAAGCUAACAAAUCAUUGCGUUUAUAUAGAGUCUAUAUCAACGGUUGCUUAAUUUAACACAUAUUUGUCGACGUUACACUCCAACAAUCAUUUAUUUACAAAUUAAUCCUUGUUUAAAUUAAACAUUCUUUAUGAUCAUAAAUUCUCUUCACUCUGUUAGGUAAAAACAAUGUAUUCCCCCAAGAUCUACCUAUCCAUCUUGUAAAUAAUGACAUGUUCUACCGCAGCCUACUCUUGGAAUGUAUUCUGAGAUAAGUUCCUACCUCUCCAGUAUUCCGUACUGCCCUUACCUAACAACUGUUUCUAACAACACACAGCCUAUGGCCUACUAAGAAUUCUAAGCCUUAGCCGAACUACUUUUACUAAAUUUUUGUUAGUCUGAAAUGCAACAACGGUACAGCAGCUGCACCUGCACUGUUGUCUUCUCCAAGCCGGAACUGCAGUGGAGGAAGGGAGUUCCUUCUCGUGGCAAUCGGCAGGCUAAUGAGUGAGGGUCUUCAGACGGCCUCUUACACCCUGCCCCUGCCAUAUCCCCAUUGGCCGUGGUUCCUGUUUCCCCCCACCCCCUCCCCCCCAUUUUGGGGGUAUAACCGACCCCCAGCCGGUGCCCUGGUGUCUCGGGAAGAGGCACCCACAAUAAACUCAUGUCU